UCUACGGGUGGCAGCAGUGGGGAAUAUUGGGCAAUGGGCGCAAGCCUGACCCAGCAACGCCGCGUGAAGGAAGAAGGCUUUCGGGUUGUAAACUUCUUUUCUCAGGGACGAAGAAAGUGACGGUACCUGAGGAAUAAGCCACGGCUAACUACGUGCCAGCAGCCGCGGUAAGACGUAGGUGGCAAGCGUUAUCCGGAUUUAUGGGGUGUAAAGGGCGUGUAGGCGGGGGCGACAGUCAGCUGUGAAAACCCAGGGCUCAACCCUGGGCCUGCAUUUUGAAACAGUGUUUCUUGAGUGAUGGAGAGGCAAGCGGAAUUCCGUGUGUAGCGGUGAAAUGCGUAGAUAUACGGAGGAACACCAGUGGCGAAGGCGGAUUGCUGGACAGUAACUGACGCUGAGGCGCGAAAGCGUGGGGAGCAAACAGGAUUAGAUACCCGGGUAGUC
rnacentral:rRNA from 1 species